rnacentral:tRNA from 1 species
GCUCAGUGGUAGAGCACUUGCCUUGUAUGCAUGAGGCCCUGGGUUUGAUCCUCAG